UCCUUGGUAGUCCAGUGGCUAGGACUCUACAAUCCCAAUGCAGGAGGCCUGGGUUCAGUUCCUGGUCAGGGAG
rnacentral:tRNA from 1 species